UCCCUAGGUGAACCUGCGGAAGGAUCAUUAAAGAAAUCGGGCGCUCGACUCUGAAAAAUUGAGAUCGGCCCCAUUUCUUAAACCACUUCACACUUGUGCACAUUUUUCCUACUUUCCUUCGGGAGAGUUUGAAAAGCUCUUGUGAUUUUAAACAAGUCCAGGAUGUGAAACCAAAUUGAAAAAGUUGUAAAACAACUACAAACGGUGGAUCUCUUGGCUCUCGUAUCGAUGAAGAACGCAGCGAAACGCGAAAAGUAAAGUGAAAUGCAGAAAUCAGUGAAUCAUCGAAACUUUGAACGCAUCUUGCACUCUCGAAACACUAUCGAGAGUAUGCCUGUUUGAGUGUCGCGAAACUCUCAACCCCCCCUCAUGCUUUAUUGCGUGUGGGUAGCUUGGGCUUGGAUCAUGAUCUUUGCAGUAAUGCGCUAGCAGAACUGCUGGAUUGAAAAACAACAAGCUGAAACUAUAUACUUGCGGCUUGACCUGUCGUUGUAAGCACACAAAAGCAUUCGAUGGGGACGCGAGAAAAAGGAAAGAGCUUUCCAAAAGUGUUACACUUUGCAGCUUCUAUUAACUUAGAGCUCUUAGUGCAUUCUGACCUCAAAACAGGUAGGAUUACCCCCUGAACUUAAGCAUAUCAAAAAGCGGAGGAAAAG
rnacentral:rRNA from 1 species